AAUAGAUACCCUGGUAGUCCACGCCGUAAACGAUGAGUGCUAGGUGUCACGGGCUUUGACCCUCGUGGUGCCGUAGCUAACGCAAUAAGCACUCCGCCUGGGGAGUACGGUCGCAAGACUAAAACUCAAAGGAAUUGACGGGGGGCCCGCACAAGCGGUGGAGCAUGUGGUUUAAUUCGACGCGACGCGCAGAACCUUACCUGGGCUAGAAAACACAGGAACCUGGGUGAAAACUCGGGGUGCCCUUCGGGGAAUCUGUGGUUAGGUGUUGCAUGGCUGUCGUCAGCUCGUGUCGUGAGAUGUUGGGUUAAGUCCCGCAACGAGCGCAACCCUUGUCGUUAGUUGCCAUCAUUCAGUUGGGCACUCUAACGAGACUGCCGACCUUCAAGUCGGAGGAAGGUGGGGAUGACGUCAAGUCCUCAUGGCCCCUAUGUCCAGGGCUACACACGUGCUACAAUGGUCGGUACAAAGGGCUGCGAAACCGCGAGGUGAAGCCAAUCCCAAAAAACCGACCUCAGUACGGAUUGGAGUCUGCAACUCGACUCCAUGGAAC
rnacentral:rRNA from 1 species